GACGAACCGAGCGAACGUUGUUCGGAAUCACUGGGCUUAAAGGGCGCGUAGGCGGGCAUUCAAGUCCGUGGUGAAAUCCUCCAGCUCAACUGGAGAACUGCCGCGGAUACUGGGUGUCUCGAGGGAGGUAGGGGCAUGCGGAACUAACGGUGGAGUGGUGAAAUGCGUUGAUAUCGUUAGGAACUCCGGUGGCGAAGGCGGCAUGCUGGACCUCUUCUGACGCUGAGGCGCGAAAGCCAGGGGAGCAAACGGG
rnacentral:rRNA from 1 species